GACGUAGGGCGCGAGCGUUGUCCGGAUUUAUUGGGCGUAAAGAGCUCGUAGGCGGCUUGUCGCGUCGACUGUGAAAACCCACGGCUCAACUGUGGGCGUGCGGGCGAUACGGGCAGACUAGAGUACUGCAGGGGAGACUGGAAUUCCUGGUGUAGCGGUGGAAUGCGCAGAUAUCAGGAGGAACACCGGUGGCGAAGGCGGGUCUCUGGGCAGUAACUGACGCUGAGGAGCGAAAGCGUGGGGAGCGAACAGG
rnacentral:rRNA from 1 species